GUGGCAGCUAGUAACUAGUUAUCAUGGUUCUAUGACUUCUAUAUAUUAUCUUGUGCUUUUUCCAAAGAAAGACAAGUCUAUUGUUUUGUUCUUAUGAACAAUGAAAUACUUUCUCUACAUUAUAAGCAGCUUGUCUAUUUUAUUCUCUUCUUUAGUUUAGUAAGUAUAGAAGAUAGGUAUCCCACUAGCAUCAAAGUUCCUUAUUUUAGAAGAUAGGUAUCCCACUAGUUUAGUAAGUAUAGAAGAUGCAUAAAGUUCCUUAUUUUAGAAAAGAGAUUGCAUGAUGCAUACGAGAAACUCUAAAAGACAGGUAUCCCACUAGUAUCAAAGCAAGUGAAUUAUAGUCUCAUAUACAAGGCACCAGAGGAGAAUGGAGAUAAGGCUACAUGUGACGAACUUGGGAUCACUUCGAUUGCCUAUUCACCUAUUGCUCAAGGUACAGUGUGAAUUUUUGAUGUUUUGCAUUCCUUUUAGUAAUGCCUUUUCUGACAUGUUGCUGCAAGAAUAUAAGGAGAACCCAGAUUAUGCACGUUGUGUUGCUAUUGUAGCAUCUGCAUCUUUGAGGGAGAUGAUAAAACCUGGUGCCUUGGCUAUUAUUUCACCUAUAGCAGUUGGUAUUGCGUUCUGAAUAUUUGGAUACUAUCCGGAGGCAAAGGAAGUGAUUGUCAUAAGGGUGCAAUUACAGGAGACAUGGCUUUCCCUCCUUGAAUAUCCAAUGGUGAAACCCACAAAUCCAGCUUAUGCUUUGCCAGUUGAUGUUGUAAAUAUGAUUAUCUUAGCAGGCAUAAAGGAGUAAAGGCUUAAAGCUGUUGGUGCAUUGUUUUCACUUACUUGUGAGGUGUAGGCAGGGUUAAUGUGCAUCACAUUUAUGGACAAAGUUUAUGGUUAGGGUUAAUGUUGGGAUGGAAUGACUUUGUUGAAUAUAUGGAUGAAUGUAUCAGAUCUUUACAUAAAUGAAUCUCUUUUGAAUGUGUUCUCAUUUGGAUUCCAUAUAUGCAAAAUGUAGGCCAUUUGAAU